ACACCUGAGCCGGUGGCCUAACCCUUGUGGAGGGAGCCGUCGAAGGUGGGAUCGGUAAUUAGGACUAAGUCGUAACAAGGUAGCCGUACCGGAAGGUGCGGCUGGAUCACCUCCUUUCUAAGGAGCAUCUGACUCUUCGGAGUCCAGAACCCAGUUCGAAGGCAUACGUUCUUCGCUGGGAGCUCAUGGGUGGAACAUUUGACAUGACAUCAGCGCAGCUGAGUCUCGUAAGUACGCUGACCUUCGGGUUGGUUGGAACGUGGGGCUUCGUGAGCGGGGUGUCUGCACGCUGUUGGGUCCUGAGGGACCGGAUGCGGAUCCGCAAGGAUUCGUUUCUGUACCUCUGGGCCUUUCGUUGUCUCUCCGGUUGGGGAGGGGAUGAGGGGUACCGCCCGUACUUUGAGAACUACACAGUGGACGCGAGCAUCUUGCAACUGAUCUUCGGAUUGGUUGCACAAGAUGAUCUUAAAGAUCAUUAGUCAAUUUCAUGCCAGGCUUCGGCCUGGUGUCGAUUCUGAUUCAAACUCAUGUGAUUUCAAGUCUUUAAGAGCAAACGGUGGAUGCCUUGGCAUCUGGAGCCGAAGAAGGACGUAGCAAUCUGCGAUAAGCCUCGGGGAACUGAUAAGCAAGUUUUGAUCCGAGGGUGUCCGAAUGGGGAAACCCCGCUGGGCGGCGUGCCGACCUAGUGACUCCCGCCUGAAUAUAUAGGGCGGGUAGAGGGAACGUGGGGAAGUGAAACAUCUCAGUACCCACAGGAAGAGAAAGCAACCGCGAUUCCGUUAGUAGUGGCGAGCGAAACCGGAACAGGCUAAACCUAGCGUGUGUGAUAGCCGGCAGGCGUUGCACGUUGGGGGUUGUGGGACUUUUCAGUCAUCUCUGCCGAGGUGGCGGCGUUACACGAUGGUAUAGACGAACGGUCUUGAAAGGCCGGUCAUAGAGGGUGCCAACCCCGUAGUCGAAAUGCCAACCGUGGCGCGAAGAGUAUCCCAAGUAGCACGGGGCCCGUGAAAUCCCGUGUGAAUCUGUCAGGACCACCUGAUAAGCCUAAAUACUCCCAGAUGACCGAAGCGACUUGCAU
rnacentral:misc_RNA from 1 species